GCGAAAGUGGCGGAACUGGUAGACGCGCUGGAUUUAGGUUCCAGUGCCGCGAGGCGUGAGAGUUCGAGUCUCUCCUUUCGCACCA
rnacentral:tRNA from 1 species